CUUUUGAUGAUUAAUUACUGACCAUAAAAUAACAAAACAUAAACAAAUGAAAGUCCUCAAACGAAACCUGAGCACUGCAGCACAUAACAGGUGCUGACAACCAGCUAUGAUGCUGUUCUAGCUAUAUGAGUAUCCCUGUGAGUCUGUCCUGGCCUUGGAAAUGAAUGCAUCAUGAUUUACCUACAUCAGUUUCCCACAUUUUAACCUCUCAUCCAUAAAGUCACCCCAUUUUGCCGAAUGCCUGGAUCUGAAGUUAAAACAUGAAGAAGUCCUGGACCCAGCCCCAAUCCUGGAAUGAAACCUUAUCCAGCCAAGGCCAGUGAGCCCAGCUCAGAUCAACCAAACUGCUGAUGCAUAAACAUGCAAUUGAAGUUUUUGUUGUAAACAACUGAAAAUUUUGUUUUUUUUCCCUCAUAGUUUUAUCAGAACAAACACCUAAUACAUAUGACAAAGGGGGCAUCUCCUGGUUAAAUCAGCUGCAUUUAAGCUGGUUUCCCAGAAAUCCUACAUGCACUUCUACUUAUUUGUCACAUGGCCACAUCUUGAGGAAAGGGAGAUUGGAAAAUAUUGCUGAGUGCAUUUUACCAUAAAUAGAAACAGAUUCCUUGUUAUGGAAGAAUAAUGCAUGGAUAUUGGGUAGAAAUCAGCAUUUGCUGUCCUACAAUUCCUAUCAGUUCUUUUCUCCAUUCCUGUGAUGGACUGGCUCCUGUCAAAUAGGUUUCCACAUAUUAUUGACCUAUUAGCACCUAUUAAUUCAUUCUUUGGAACAGAUCCUUGAUUUAUUUUUUAGGGCACCACUUGGUUCUCUACUUCAUUAACCACCAUUUCUCAGUCUCCUUUAUGGAUUUAUUCUUCUCCCUGAGCCCUCAGCCUCUUUUAUUUUCUAACUGCCUUCACUCUCUGAUAGAUAUUAUCCAGUCCCAAGAUCUUAAAUAAUGACGGUAUGCCCUGACAGCUCCCAUGUUGAUCUCUCCACUCACAGCUGUCUCAUAAUUUCAGGUUUACAUAUUCAAUUGCCUUCUCAAGUUGUAUAGUAGUUACCUUUUAUGCAGCAUGCCCCAAACAGAACUAUUUCUCAACCCCCAUAUUACUGCUGAUUAGGUUGAAUCUUUUGAUUGAGUGUUUCCAUGGAGGUGUGACUUAAUCAACUGUGGGCAAAAUGUUUGAUUAAAUUAUUUCCAUGGAGAUAUGGACCCUCCCCAUUGAUGGUGGGUUUUAAUUUAA